rnacentral:rRNA from 1 species
UACGUAGGUGGCAAGCGUUGUUCGGAAUUAUUGGGCGUAAAGGGCGCGUAGGCGGUUUGUUAAGUCGGCUGUGAAAGCCCGGGGGCUCAACCCCCGGAGGGUCAGCCGAUACUGGCAGGCUAGAGUACAGAAGAGGUAACUGGAAUUCCCGGUGUAGCGGUGAAAUGCGUAGAGAUCGGGAGGAACACCAGUGGCGAAGGCGGCUCGCUGGGCCGGUCCUGACACUGAGGCGCGAAGGCGUGGGGAGCAAACAGG